UUGUAUCUACUGGCCCAUUUGGUCGUAUUUUUGAAAGAGGGUUUGGGGUCCCCUUCACUGGGUGUCCUAGGUCGCUUUCAGGUUUACUUUGAAAAAAUUAGAGUGCUCAAAGCAGGCUUUAACGCUUGAAUAUUCGUGCGUGGAAUAAUAGAAUAGGAAGUUCGUUUCUAUUUUGUUGGUUUUAGGAUAACGACUUAAUGAUUAAUAGGGACAAUCGGGGGAAUUAGU
rnacentral:rRNA from 1 species